UAAGGCCGAUGGCGACCGGCGCACGGGUGAGUAACACGUAUCCAACCUGCCGUCUACUCUUGGACAGCCUUCUGAAAGGAAGAUUAAUACAAGAUGGCAUCAUGAGUCCGCAUGUUCACAUGAUUAAAGGUAUUCCGGUAGACGAUGGGGAUGCGUUCCAUUAGAUAGUAGGCGGGGUAACGGCCCACCUAGUCUUCGAUGGAUAGGGGUUCUGAGAGGAAGGUCCCCCACAUUGGAACUGAGACACGGUCCAAACUCCUACGGGAGGCAGCAGUGAGGAAUAUUGGUCAAUGGGCGAGAGCCUGAACCAGCCAAGUAGCGUGAAGGAUGACUGCCCUAUGGGUUGUAAACUUCUUUUAUAAAGGAAUAAAGUCGGGUAUGGAUACCCGUUUGCAUGUACUUUAUGAAUAAGGAUCGGCUAACUCCGUGCCAGCAGCCGCGGUAAUACGGAGGAUCCGAGCGUUAUCCGGAUUUAUUGGGUUUAAAGGGAGCGUAGAUGGAUGUUUAAGUCAGUUGUGAAAGUUUGCGGCUCAACCGUAAAAUUGCAGUUGAUACUGGAUAUCUUGAGUGCAGUUGAGGCAGGCGGAAUUCGUGGUGUAGCGGUGAAAUGCUUAGAUAUCACGAAGAACUCCGAUUGCGAAGGCAGCCUGCUAAGCUGCAACUGACAUUGAGGCUCGAAAGUGUGGGUAUCAAACAGGAUUAGAUACCCUGGUAGUCCACACGGUAAACGAUGAAUACUCGCUGUUUGCGAUACACUGCAAGCGGCCA
rnacentral:rRNA from 1 species